rnacentral:rRNA from 1 species
AGUGAACGCUGGCGGCAGGCCUAACACAUGCAAGUCGAGCGGCAGCGCGUCCGACCACCCUCGGGUGGUCGGAUGGCGGCGAGCGGCGGACGGGUGAGGAAUGCAUCGGAAUCUGCCUCGUUGUGGGGGAUAACGUAGGGAAACUUACGCUAAUACCGCAUACGACCUACGGGUGAAAGUGGGGGACCUUCGGGCCUCACGCGAUGAGAUGAGCCGAUGCCGGAUUAGCUAGUUGGCGGGGUAAAGGCCCACCAAGGCGACGAUCCGUAGCUGGUCUGAGAGGAUGAUCAGCCACACUAGAACUGAGACACGGUCCAGACUCCUACGGGAGGCAGCAGUGGGGAAUAUUGGACAAUGGGGGGCAACCCUGAUCCAGCCAUGCCGCGUGUGUGAAGAAGGCCU